AAGCGUUGAAGUAGAGGGCUGUUUCAAGUCGCAGUGUUCUACGGAGCUUUGUUGGGGGUUGUGCAUUAACCACAACUUGAAUAGGCGCAAGCCGAAAGAAAAUGCUCUCA
rnacentral:ncRNA from 1 species